CGACGACGGGGAAACCGAGGGUCUGAGAGGUGGAGGCGCUCCAUCCAGCAAAGGCCUGGUUUGGAGAUUUCAGAGUUGCUAUGAGUGAUCCCUGCCCCUGCUUCCUGGAGCACAGGUGUGAGUUCCUCGAGGGGCACACCCAUCCAUCUGCCAGAUCCUACUGAAUCGAGUUCCAACUCCUCAAGAAAGCGAUGCCAGGAGUCAGGCUGUUUAAGCUGCAAUCCCACUGGUGCACUUUGGGACCCAGGACCAGCCACCCUUCUCCGGGCCCUACUCUCCUCCUUGCUCCCCUCAGACCCGCUGCCAGCACCUCCAUCAUCUCUGCCUGCCAGCCUGCCUGCCUUCAUCCGCGGAGGAGAGACACGGCUGGAGGCUGAGAGAGGCGGCUUCGCGGGGCCCGGCCGCAAGAGGCCGCGUUACCUGUAUACCCAGGUGUGCACACGCAGCCACGCGCAAGGUAGAUAGCAGCGUGGAGCGGAAACCCCCACACACCUACGAAAAGACCCAGCUGCCCAGUAGGGUUUAUGCCAGGGAUGCAAACCCGUUUCAGACAAAGUAGCCACGGGAUUCAUGCCGUUAACCGGUUGACGGAACGUGGUGUGGGUGUCUCCGUAAAUGCUGAAACGGUGUACGAAACAUGCCCUCACCCAGGCUCCAGAAAAGAGAAAGGAGCUAGAUAGAAGGUGCAAAGCCAGGGCAGGGAGCGUGAGGGAAGCGGGGACUGAGGCAGGAGAGGACGAGGCGCCGUGGGUUGUUGUCAUGUGGCUCGCUGUUUCUUGGAAAAGCACAGCAAGUGAUUGGCCAACGGGGCUGCUCAGCCCUCAGGGAGCCUCCAGAUGGACAUGCCUCCGGGCAGUCUAUCAGAGGAGGAAAGAUGGGAUCCAUCAGCCCAGCUCCCUCCUCAGCUUCCGUUUCCCAUUGGCCAAAGUUCCCCUCCCGGAUUCAUUCUCCUGCAUUUCCAGUUGCCUUGUGAAAGCCAUUGGCAGCUUCUUAGGAACCCAUGCCUUAUCGUGUGGUCUUUGUCCUAAGUCCAGAAAUGGCCAGAGAAGCCAGAGACUCUGGGCUUGUAGCUGAUUGGCGUUGGGCAGCAGAAUCGCACAGGCCCACAUGGAGUCUCUUGGCCGCCGUGGUGGCUGGAGCAGAGCAAACAGCUGAAGUCUGGGAAGCAGGGGAGUCCAAGAGAAUCUGUAGUUCCUAAAAGUGUUACAUAUGAUUGAUCUCAACUUCCAUUUCUGAUAAAAAAAAAAAAACUCAUCAAGCCACAUCCUUAUUGAUGAAAUAUUAAAAAGACCCCCCUUUCAAUUCGGGACUGAGAUAAAGUUAUCCAGGGUCGUCACCGCUACCCAACCUUAGACCUCAGGUGUAGCCAACGUAAUAAGACAAGAAAAAAAAUUAAAGUUUAAUGUCGGGGGAGGAAGAGACAAGUUUGUCAUUAUGUAUGUACGUAAUAUGACUGUCUCCCUUAAAAAUGCAAAAGAAGCAGCCGACGAACUAAUUAACAAGACACGUUAUGUGCAAAUCAUGAUGGCUUCUUCUCCCCUCCCCUUUUACAUCCGAUGUUCCAAGAAAACUCACCUGUUCUGUUCCUUGCACCUGCGCUCUGUGGUUUCCCGACUCUGGACCUUUACCUCACCUUGAUCUUCUUGCAUUUUCUGAGCUCUUCUUUCCUAUAGAAAUUGGGACUAUAUUAGUGUUGCUUUGAAGUUGGUACCGAACAAGUUGACAUUAUAUGUGUAUGUACCCCUACUCUUAGCAAACUACCCAGCCCAUGACAGAGGAUACCAGUCAGUAUUAUUCCUUAUCUCCUUGUCCCUAACACCUAGGACAGUGCCCAAAAUAUAACCGGAGUUCAAAAGUUGCUUGAUGAAUGACUUCCAUUUAAAACCAUUCAGCAAAUAUUUCUUGAGAGCUUCCGUGUGCAGAGCGAUGUCCCAGGUGCUAGGGACGCAAGGAUGAGCAAGAUUCAAACCCAGUCUCCUCCAGCUCAAGGGUGUCAGAGGAAUAUAAAGAAAGACAAGAAGCCCAAAUGUAGAGAAAGUCAGACCCAAGCCCACUGAAGUCACCCUCACAAUCCCCCGGGGUUAUCCUUGUAGAGAAGUCAGCAUAAGGCAUAGAAUCUUAGGCCAUCGGGUCCUUAGAGAGGCGAGGUCAAGAGUCGACAGCCCUGAGUUCAGAUCCUGGCUCCUGCCUUCAUCAUUUGGGUGAACUCAGGGACAUUGUCUCCUCUCAUUAAGUUUUGGUUCUUCUUCUGUAGGAUGGGGGUAAUAGCACUUACCAUGCAGGGUUGCUCUGGGGUAAGUUGAGGUCACCAAAUGAAAAGAAUAUGGCACAUCACCCGGUGUCUACUGAGCUAACAUCCACCCCACCCUCAACUCCUGCUGAUGGGGAACGGGAGGCAUCACGAGUCCCACCAGGCCGUAACCAGGUCAGACCUCCUGGCUCCAAGGCUGUGUUCAUCUUGGGACUUCCCGGCUCCCGGCCAGCUCUGACAUCUUGAGAGCCUACAGAAAGUUCAGGAAGGUGAGCCAAGUGGUUUCCGCAGGCCCUCACCAGCUAAUACUGAGCCAGUGCAAGCCUGGAUCACAGGUGCCAUGGGUUAGAUCAAGGCAGCCCUUCGUCAUUUCUGCUCCACUCUAGGAACCUCUGCAUCUCCCUCCUUCCAGGCAAAGCGUCAGGUACCUUGAGUCCCCUUGCUUGGCUGACAUCCCCCACCUAGACUUCACCAGUCCCAGCCCCCUUGGAAAUAAGGGACAUCAGAGCACACAGGGUUUUCCUUCUCUUACCCCAAAGCACCUCCCCAAAACAGAUAUUCUUACUGAGGAAUAUCUCUCUGUACUGGCAUGGGCAGAUACAUUAAGUGAAGAUAAAUUAAGUGAAAAAUUGGAAAAUGCCACAACGCUGCUCGGUCCAACCCUACUUUUUAAAAAUAGACACCUGAAAAAGAAAACGCUGCAGAAAUAUUAACCCACAGGUUCCCACUGGUUAUGUCUAAGGGGGGCAUUAGAGUGGAUGUUCUAUAUUACAUGUUCCUAUAACGUUUUCAUUUGCAUUGCAUUGCUAAUCAGGAAUAAUAGAUUGUUUGAAAAGAGAAAGGGGUUCUUGAGACCUUGGCCAGCAUGAGAGGUCAGGAGGGCUGCCAGGGAAAAGUUCUAGAGCAUUCCAUUCUAGAGUCAGAGAGACCACCUGCCCCAGGCUGGGAAAAUGCCAGCCUUCAGUGGAGGACUGAGUCGGCCUGGAGCAGAAAAGAAAAUCGAUCAUCUCCUUCCUUAAAAAUAUAGGUCUGUUUCCUGGGGCACCUGGGUGGUUCGGUCGGUUAAGCAUCUGACUUCGGCUCAGGUCUGAUCUCACUCGUUCGUGAGUUCGAGGCCCACAUCAGGCUCUGUGCUGAGGGCUUGGAACCUGGAGCCUGCUUCAGAUUCUGUCUCCCUCUCUCUCUGACCCUCCCCCGCUCACACUCUGUGUGUGUGUGUGUGUGUGUGUGUGUGUGUGUC